rnacentral:rRNA from 1 species
UACGUAGGGGGCAAGCGUUGUCCGGAUUUAUUGGGCGUAAAGAGCGUGUAGGCGGCUUGACAGGUCUGCUGUGAAAACUCGAGGCUCAACCUCGAGAUGUCGGCGGAAACCGUCUGGCUAGAGUCCGGAAGAGGAGAGUGGAAUUCCUGGUGUAGCGGUGAAAUGCGCAGAUAUCAGGAAGAACACCUAUGGCGAAGGCAGCUCUCUGGGACGGUACUGACGCUGAGACGCGAAAGCGUGGGGAGUGAACAGG